UUCAAGCUUUGCGAAAAAUUCCCUUUUAGCAACAUUCAUUUGAACGUUGCUAAAAGGAAAACUUAAAUCACCCAACCCAAACCAAAAAGAAGAACUCCUCAAAAUGAUCUUCAGCCCUAGUUUUUCCUUCUCUGCUCGUCUCUGCCUCUCAUUUUUGGACAGUAAUUCAAAAUGCCACAGCAAGAGGCGAAAGAAAAUGGGGAAAUACAAUCAAUACCGCAUAAAUCUUAAGCCCUCCGACAUGAGGCCGCUUGUGUUGCCAAACGAAAUUUCAAUUUUGGCGACUAUUCAGUGAGAUCACUGAAGGAGGAACUGCAGCUUCUUCAGGAGCAUGGAUCAUAUGUUGGGAAAGUUGUCAAAGUUAUGGGAAAAUCAAAGGUCCUUGUCAAGAUUCGAAACUUGUUAUCAGAUUGCUUUGGCCAUAAAGGACGGAGUGGAGGAUAUUCAAAAGGCGGGCAUUACUGUUAUUUGAAACCUGUUACCAUUUCUUUUGGUUUUUUUUUUGUUUUUUUUUUGUUUUUUGUUUUUUGUUUUUUGUUUUUUGUUUUUUAUUUUUUUUGUUUUUUAUUUUUUUUGGGAAAUCUAUUGGUUUUUAGGCGCUUCAAAAUUUUGGAUCUAAAUUUUGUAUGCAUAUUUUGUCACAUUUUGGAAUACAAUUAUUAAUGACUAUUGGAGUUCUUUGAUA